rnacentral:rRNA from 1 species
GUCUACGGUCAUGCCACCCUGAACGUGCCCCAUCCUGUCCGGUCUCGGAAACUAAGCAGGGUUAGGUCUGGUUAGUACUUGGAUGAGAGACCACCUAGGAAUACCAGGUGCUGUAGGCA